CGUUCAAGGUAUUCGGCGUUUUCUUUCUUAAGAAUUGCAUUUUCAGAGCAAAUAAGUUCGUAUUCUUUUCUAAGUGUGUGUAGUUCAAUAUAUGCAGUAUCAUUCGAUGAGGAUUGACAUACGGUUUCAAGGUUAGCUAUGGCAGUUUUGUUUUGUUCCAUAACACCCAGUAGCAGUGGCAAUAAGUCUCUAUUAAAAAAUAGUCAGUACUGCAGAGCCUGAAAUAACGGCCGGCGGUUUUCCGACCAAAUUCCGAUUUUUCCGACCAAAUGCUGAAAUGAUCGGAAAUUUUGUCCGGCCAAAUUUUGAGAAAAAGAAAAAUGUUUUCUUAAUGAUCGGGUCGGCGCUCAGCACAGUGAAUACCAUCUGUAAGUUUGGAUUAUCUAUAUUAGGCUAAUAUAAAGUAAUCAACUGGAAAGUAUAGUUCACGGGCAGCCUAGUCCCUGGCCUUCCAAGCGCGGGCGAGUUACAGGCUGUCGUGAACUUGCGGGCUGUCAGUUUCCCCAGUCUCCAAAUAAUACAGCUUUAUCACGGUCAACCUGCAAACCUUAUCAAUUUCCCCCUAAAAUAAUGAGGCGGAAGCGAGAAGGCCAGGAACUAGGCUGGUUCACGGGCUCAAUAAACAAGAAGGUGGCUUACAGCGUGGUGUUGUCGUGAAAAUGUGAGGUGAGUCUUAAUAAUUUGCAAUUUAAAUCACCCGUCAAUCAAUUUAAAACACCCGUCGGCUCACGACCAUUUUGAAUUUUCGCUACAGUUACAAUUACCUUACACAAUUGCAAGUAGAGUGAUUUACUCAGUGCACGUCUGCAUGCUUGACAGAGUUUGCUCAUUGGGGGGGGGGGGGGGAGUGGACUUGGUCAAACUAAACUAAAAAAAAUUCCGGUCAAUUUUGCAAAUUUCCGGUCAAAUUUCGUUUUGGUCGGAAGUUUUUCCGGACAAAUUUUAAAAUUAUUUCAGGCUCUG